rnacentral:rRNA from 1 species
UACGUAGGGUGCAAGCGUUAAUCGGAAUUACUGGGCGUAAAGCGUGCGCAGGCGGUUGUGCAAGACAGAUGUGAAAUCCCCGGGCUCAACCUGGGAAUUGCAUUUGUGACUGUACGGCUAGAGUGUGUCAGAGGGGGGUAGAAUUCCACGUGGUAGCAGUGAAAUGCGUAGAGAUGAUGGAGGAAUACCGAUGGCGAAGGCAGCCCCCUGGGAUAACACUGACGCUCAUGCACGAAAGCGUGGGGAGCAAACAGG